UGAUGUUCAACCGACAAAAUACAGUUCGAUAGGAUCUAUUUUCGGGAAAAAUUCGAGAGCGGGUGUUCAGUAUUAAAAUAACUAAAUAUAUUGCUUGGUGUUCGUUUACUUCUGAUUUAUUCGAAAACUAGUAGAAAAUAUUAUGAAGUAUUGGGGAAUAUUGAUGGAUCGGUACUAUGUGUAAAAUUAUACGUUGCUUCUAGAUUAUUUUAGUUUCGUUUCGCCGCUACAGUCAUCGGUCAUGUACAUCAUAUACGUAAUUGUAUUAUCAUACAUAGUGUUAAAUUCAAACCGUACGAUA